AGAUACUGUGGCCUGGCUUUGUUAGGGGAGAUCGUGAACAUGGAUGAGGACAUGGAGUAACUUUAGGAGGCUGGCUCUCCCCAGGAGCUCUCCCCCAAGGACAACAUCUCCCAGCCUUGCCUUUCCCUGCCAGCUGCUGAGAGUUACUCCUCAUCCCAGAGAUGAGCAAGGUCAUCAGCCCUGAAGGAGCAUCUCGUACUUGGGAACACAAAGAAAAGACCAGAUCCCUCCCCGCUCAGAUACCUCAUCAUUCAGCCAGGCAGUGACAGGACGAAAAGAAGGCGGGGUCAACUUGUGCCUUCAAGAGCACGUUCUAGAAAAAACUACAGGAUCUACACAUCAGCAAGGCUGCGGCACGAUCCCAACACCUCCCUGAUUUGUCCUUGGAAAUUGUCCGUCAGCACCUGUGUAUCAAAGCAGAAGCUGUAGCCCGUGUCGUUCUUGCCCUUGUUCCCACGUUGCUGCUGAUGCAAUGGGGCCUUGCUAAGUCCAACUGC